UUAUGCAUGCUUUAGUCCGCACACACACUCACUCAAUGCAUAUAAGAAGAGCGUCCUACUCCCAUCACUGCAAUCUGUUGUGUCACGAGGCUCAUUCCCUGCAUGGAUAGCUCUAAAAGAAAGCCACAGCCAGCUCCUCCACCAGGCUAUCCGACUGAAAAUACACCAGCAGCUAAGAAGUCAUGCUUCCCUCGCACCAAGACCAAAGGAGAAAGAGGCUUCAUUGAAGGAUGUCUUGUAGCACUUUGCUGUUGUUGGAUAUGCGAAACUUGCUGCCUGUGAACGUGCAUUAGCAUUUGAAUGGAUUCGCUGUUACGUACUAGUAAAGCUUGUCUGCUGUAAAUUAAAUUGCUCAAUGCACAAGGAUCAGUUAAGUUUUGUGGAGGUUGCCUAUCAGUAAAAUGUUGUAUAUGCUUCUUCAAAAACAUAAAUAAAAUAAUAUUUUUCCAUGAUGGUUGGAUUUUAAGUUCAAA